rnacentral:rRNA from 1 species
UAGUCGGGUCCUAAGCUGAGGCCGACAGGCGUAGGCGAUGGAUAACAGGUUGAUAUUCCUGUACCACCUAGUAUCGUUUUAAUCGAUGGGGGGACGCAGUAGGAUAGGCGAAGCGUGCUGUUGGAGUGCACGUCCAAGCAGUAAGGCUGAGUGUUAGGCAAAUCCGGCACUCAUAAGGCUGAGCUGUGAUGGGGAGAGGAAAUUGUUUCCUCGAGUCGUUGAUUUCACACUGCCGAGAAAAGCCUCUAGAUAGAUAACAGGUGCCCGUACCGCAAACCGACACAGGUAGUCAAGAUGAGAAUUCUAAGGUGAGCGAGCGAACUCUCGUUAAGGAACUCGGCAAAAUGACCCCGUAACUUCGGGAGAAGGGGUGCUCUUUAGGGUUCACGCCCAGAAGAGCCGCAGUGAAUAGGCCCAAGCGACUGUUUAUCAAAAACACAGGUCUCUGCUAAACCGUAAGGUGAUGUAUAGGGGCUGACGCCUGCCCGGUGCUGGAAGGUUAAGAGGAGUGGUUAGCUUCUGCGAAGCUACGAAUCGAAGCCCCAGUAAACGGCGGCCGUAACUAUAACGGUCCUAAGGUAGCGAAAUUCCUUGUCGGGUAAGUUCCGACCCGCACGAAAGGCGUAACGAUUUGGGCACUGUCUCAACGAGAGACUCGGUGAAAUCAUAGUACCUGUGAAGAUGCAGGUUACCCGCGACAGGACGGAAAGACCCCGUGGAGCUUUACUGUAGCCUGAUAUUGAAAUUCGGCACAGCUUGUACAGGAUAGGUAGGAGCCUUUGAAACGUGAGCGCUAGCUUACGUGGAGGCGUUGGUGGGAUACUACCCUAGCUGUGUUGGCUUUCUAACCCGCACCACUUAUCGUGGUGGGAGACAGUGUCAGGCGGGCAGUUUGACUGGGGCGGUCGCCUCCUAAAAGGUAACGGAGGCGCUCAAAGGUUCCCUCAGAAUGGUUGGAAAUCAUUCAUAGAGUGUAAAGGCAUAAGGGAGCUUGACUGCGAGACCUACAAGUCGAGCAGGGUCGAAAGACGGACUUAGUGAUCCGGUGGUUCCGCAUGGAAGGGCCAUCGCUCAACGGAUAAAAGCUACCCCGGGGAUAACAGGCUUAUCUCCCCCAAGAGUUCACAUCGACGGGGAGGUUUGGCACCUCGAUGUCGGCUCAUCGCAUCCUGGGGCUGUAGUCGGUCCCAAGGGUUGGGCUGUUCGCCCAUUAAAGCGGUACGCGAGCUGGGUUCAGAACGUCGUGAGACAGUUCGGUCCCUAUCCGUCGUGGGCGUAGGAAAUUUGAGAGGAGCUGUCCUUAGUACGAGAGGACCGGGAUGGACAUACCUCUGGUGUACCAGUUGUCGUGCCAACGGCAUAGCUGGGUAGCUAUGUAUGGACGGGAUAAGUGCUGAAAGCAUCUAAGCAUGAAGCCCCCCUCAAGAUGAGAUUUCCCAACUUCGGUUAUAAGAUCCCUCGAAGAUGACGAGGUUAAUAGGUUCGAGGUGGAAGCGUGGUGACACGUGGAGCUGACGAAUACUAAUCGAUCGAAGACUUAAUCAAUUUUUUAAA